GUAUCUGAAAAAAAGUUCUUGAAAACAAUGAGUGACCCAACGGGUUCCUGCAGUUUAGAAUUAUUUGUUUGCCAUGAUAAAAUAUUAUUAGCAUAUCAUUUGAGAAAAAUGCUUUGUAUAUUUGAACAUAAAGUCAGCUCUGGAGUUAUUUCUUCUAUUUUCUUGGCCAUAUUGGCGAUUGACCUUUUCAAGAAACGUGCCAUGUUUCAACUUUAGUUCCUAUUUCUAAAUUUGAAAUGAAUAGGAAUGGUUAUAGAAUAUUUGUAUAUUAUUUUUCUAGAAGAACAAUGAUGAAAUCGCUGUUGCCAUGGCUACUAAUAAUGCUGGGUUUUGUAACAAGUAGUAAGUGCUUUAUAAAAUGACGCUGCAAAAAGACUCAUGCAUUCAGCUGAUGACGUCUCGCCUGAUAAAACAUACUUUCAUCAUUUCGAAGCAUUCAAUGGUAAUUCUUCCUCCAACACGCCAAUAGAAAAAGAUGAACUGAAUCAUGGUAGCCAUCUUCAAAGUCGGAGCUUGAAAUUCUUUCCUUUAGUUGAUUUAACCGGAAAUACAACAGCAACUGUUAGUCCGGCAGAUGUUUUUAAUAACUGGAGACAACGAAAACGAGAUGCUAUCACUAAUUAUUUGAAAAGGCUUGGAAUUUACCAAUAACUAUGAUCCUUAUUUCAUGCAUUUGGUGCACAGAAAAAGAAAUUAAUGGGGUUUUAUUUCAACAAAAUUGUAUUUGUCGAUGAUUGAUUAUAAUAAUGAUAACAGUGAUAAAUGUUAAACAAAUGCUCCUUUAUAAAAUAUUUAAACUGUUCUAUGCAUUGUUUAAGAGGUAUGUUAAAUAUAAAAAUACUUCAUUUGAACUCAUAAUGCUUUAAUAAUUAUCAGAUAUUUAUAUCCUUAUAAAUGUUGUAUAAGAAGAUUUAAAAAAUAAAGAAGGUUUAUAAUUUUUUUUCAAUUAUUAGUAGAUUGUGAUUUUAUAUGUAUG